ACACCAGCCAGGGCUCAAGAAAUGCUUGUCAGCUGAAUCUGCAGAGCCACGGAAAUCACGGCUUUGCACAACCGGGGCCAAGAUUGCCACCCUCUAUCGAAAUGGAGGAGGAGAACUGAUAAAACAUUCACACUUCGGUGGUGCUUGCCAAGACUUGAAGCAGGGAUGGUGACCUUGGUGUUCUCUCCAGAGCGUGGGCCUGGAGGGCUGUGUUGAGAGGGAGUCAGAGGCUGUCUGGGCUCCGUACUAAAGUGCUGUCUGCUGGCGGCACUGACUGGGAGUACGGUUGCUCUCCUAGCUUGAAGCGUUCCGCCUCCAGAGACAUCUGCUUCAGAACUGAGGACAGAGCCUUAAGUAAAAGGAUGCAUCUUGGCUGUUUGAGUUAGACAUCACGUAGCUGGAGAGAGAAGGUGUCAUAACUCCACACUGUAGAGGCCACCACCGCC
rnacentral:lncRNA from 1 species